CCUUGCGAGUCCUGAAGGAACGUUGAAGACGACGACGUUGAUAGGCCGGGUGUGUAAGCGCAGCGAUGCGUUGAGCUAACCGGUACUAAUGAACCGUGAGGCUUAACCUU
rnacentral:rRNA from 1 species